rnacentral:rRNA from 1 species
UACGGAGGGGGCGAGCGUUAUUCGGAAUUAUUGGGCGUAAAGGGCGCGUAGGCGGCUUGACAAGUCAAAGGUGAAAUCCCUCGGCUCAACUGAGGAACUGCCUUUGAAACUGUCUGGCUUGAGGUCGGGAGGGGGUAGCGGAAUUCCCAGUGUAGCGGUGAAAUGCGUAGAUAUUGGGAGGAACACCAGUGGCGGAGGCGGCUACCUGGACCGGUUCUGACGCUGAUGCGCGAAAGCGUGGGUAGCAAACAGG